CUGGGCAGCUGGUGAUCGUUGGUCCCGGC
rnacentral:piRNA from 1 species